GAUGAGUAGCGAUAACAAUGACACUGAAAUUUUUAUGCAACAUCUAGGACUAUGUUGUUCUCAUGUUUCCUCUCCGCAUAAUAAAACUCAUACUUCUGGGGAUAAGCAAAGUACUGUUCCAGAACUUCUUUCCAGUAUCAAGGGGCCUUGGGCUUUGAUUUAUUGGCAGGUAACUUUUGGUGGUAAGUUUCUAUUGGUUUAUUUCAGCAGGAAAGGAUGUAUUAUUUUGAAACAAAGGCUUGUCUAACGUUCCACUACUCUUUGCUAUAGAGUAGUUCAAGAAUAUUAUGGUUUGGUCGAGAUGCAUUUGGAAGGCGAAGCCUUCUUGUUCACUGGCCAACAAAGGAGGACCCUCGGUUUCUGCUGUCUUCUGUAUCACCACAUGCCUCUGUAAAUGAAAGUUCUGGUAACAAUUAUUAACAUCUUACCACUUACUGAUUUCUUUUAACACAAUUAAGAUUUCUUGGAGAAGCUUCAACUUAUUUUAAAUCAAAUCAGUUGCCAUUUAUCUUUUAUGGGAACAACUCUAUUAAAUUAUCAAUAGUGAUGAUUGAGCAUGUACACCCAAGAACAUAUAACAAUCCAAAAUAUUGUGUGGAGCUAAGCGUUUUGGUGAUUUGGCCAUCCUCUCUUUGUGAAGUUUGGUGCUUCAUAAAAUCAUUACUGAAAAGCUGUCUAUUAGUUAGAUAAAAUAUUUGAUGUUGGAAGAAAGUUGAUAUUACUUGUUUGUUCAUUGUUCGAUAUUUUAAAAUUUAGAAACAUUAAUGUUAUAAUUAUUUGACAUUGUUACCUACCAACAUGAAAGAGAAAAAAAAACAAGCAAAACAUGGCAGCAGUUGGUAGUAUAGUCUAUAGCUCCUUUAUUCUUAACGAGUGGGACACUAUGAUCUUGUAGAAUUUGCAGAUGGAGAGGGAAUAUCCAAAACAGACUUCUGGGAAGAACUUCCAUGCGGUGUGUACAGUUUGUCUAUUGGUGAUUUAGGAACAGAUGACUAUUUAAUUGGUGAAGUUUUGAAGCAUGACUGGACAGAUCCAAAGCUGAAGGAGUUAAUCACUUGGGAGAGAACUUCUGUCCAACCAAAACCAGAGGACUUGCACGUUU
rnacentral:lncRNA from 1 species